UUUCAUCUUCUUCCCUUUUUCUUCUUUCUUCUUCUCUUUUCUUUCUUUCUCUUGUUGUUGUGGAAAAGAAACAAACAACAA
rnacentral:ribozyme from 13 species